rnacentral:rRNA from 1 species
AGAACGAACGCUGGCGGCAUGCCUAAUACAUGCAAGUCGAACGAAGGCUUCGGCCUUAGUGGCGCACGGGUGCGUAACGCGUGGGAAUCUGCCCCUUGGUUCGGAAUAACAGUUGGAAACGACUGCUAAUACCGGAUGAUGACGAAAGUCCAAAGAUUUAUCGCCAAGGGAUGAGCCCGCGUAGGAUUAGCUAGUUGGUGAGGUAAAGCUCACCAAGGCGACGAUCCUUAGCUGGUCUGAGAGGAUGAUCAGCCACACUGGGACUGAGACACGGCCCAGACUCCUACGGGAGCAGCAGUA